rnacentral:rRNA from 1 species
UACGUAGGGGGCGAGCGUUGUCCGGAAUCAUUGGGCGUAAAGCGCGUGUAGGCGGCCCGGUAAGUCCGCUGUGAAAGUCCAGGGCUCAACCCUGGGAGGCCGGUGGAUACUGCAGGGCUCGAGUCCGGGAGAGGCGAGUGGAAUUCCUGGUGUAGCGGUGAAAUGCGCAGAUAUCAGGAGGAACACCAAUGGCGAAGGCAGCUCGCUGGGACGUGACUGACGCUGAGACGCGAAAGCGUGGGGAGCGAACAGG